ACACAAAAAAUACUGAUGCUGCAAUUUUAAUUUAAAGGUCACAUGAUAAUGUGCUCUUUGAAUGCUUUUAUAUAGACCUUAGUUGUUCCCUAAUAUCAAAUCUGAAGUCUGUUUCCCAAAAUUUAGCCUUGGCGCAGAAUUACAACCACAAGAGCCAGUCCCACAAUGAGCU